rnacentral:snRNA from 1 species
GCUCGCUUCAGCAGCACUUACUAAAAUUGGAAUGAUAGAAGAUUAGCAUGGUCCCUGCACAAGGAUGACAUGCAAAUUCGUGAAGCAUUCCAUGUUUAA